AUUUAUUCACAAUUUCUGGAUCAACCUCCCACAUUUUUAUCAGUUGCAAAAUUUUUCAUAACAUUUUUUAACAUUUACUUUAGAAAAAACCCAACAGUGCAUUUGCUUCUUGAGUGCUCAUCUCAUUAUAUUUUUUUUCCAGGGUUUGUAUCAUGUGAAAAAAAUGUGUAGUCGUGACUUGUGGAUUUUGGAGAAAGUGGUAUUGCAAAAGCAACAUAAAUCUUUUCACUUUCAUUGAUCAAGGAAGGCAAUCCUCCAGUAAUUUGUGCAGGCAGUAUGCAUUAUUGUAUAUUUAUUGUGUUUAUUUGGAAUUCUGUUGCAUGAUAUAACUUUUUUUUUUUUGGUAGAAAUUUAACUUGGAAUAAUUAUGUAUUUUGAACUUUGGGAAAGAAUUAUAAAUUUAGAAACAGGAAAAGCUAUAUAUACAUUUAGAAACAGGAAAAGCUAUGUAUCUUAAUAAUUUUGUUCCAGUUUUAAUAAUUAUGUAUUUUGCAAUUUGAAUAUUCUGUGCAGAGAGAGAUUAGGAUCUUUUUUUUUUUUAAAGAAUAGAAAACCGACCAGAUCAAAACAAAAUUAAAAAGUUCAGUUUGGUGUUUCUGCAGUCAUCUGGUUCAGUUAAUUCAGUUUGGUUCCAAAACAACCAAUAGCACACCCUACAAGGCUCCUCAGUCUUGAAUUAAACUGUUCUCUACCCUCUUGAAUCAGCGCUAAUUGUA
rnacentral:misc_RNA from 1 species